rnacentral:lncRNA from 1 species
UUUUCUUUGCAACGUUCACAUAUUGGUUGCUAUUAAUAAGGCUUUGUUUUUGCAUACAAAGCCAUGACUUGCCUAUAUGAAAAAACUGAUUACGGGAAACAAACUGAGUGUGAAGCUCUUUUCUUAUUCUAGUCCACAACAAAAAUAACAAUCCUCUCAUACCAAAAUUAAGAAAAGCUACAUAUUUUAAUUUUUGUCCAGUCAACAACUCUGGGUUUCAUCUUCCUGAAAUUUUUUUCUUCUUGUUAGUUAUGUAUCCUUGGUUUUAAACCAAGGUUGAAGAGCCUGUUGAAUAUCGGGUUACUAUUUUGUAGGUUUCUUAUGAAUUGUUGAUAGAACUAUGUCGACGGUCAAGUCAAACAAUAAUAUAUAGCACUGAUAAGUUAUUUGAUAUCUCUCUUUUUAUUCUCUUCAAUAUUUAAUUAUUUCUCAUUUUAUGUGUUGAUUAUUAUUUGGAGAUAAUUUUAUAUCAAUAUUUUACAACAGAAGUAUGUAUGUUUUUCUUAUUCUACCAGUGUUUCUUUUUUUUUUUUUUUCUUUUCUUUUUUCAGAUAAAAUAGUUCGAAUCAAAUAGACACGUAUAGACUAGUUUGUAGAAAACAAGGGAAAAUAGCAAGUAGACAAGGUUUGAGAAUGGACAUGGUGGAGAGUCGGUCUAUAACCUUUUGUACUUCAUUUAUCAAAAAAAUAUUUAGAAGACAACUUCAUAUUUGCAAGAGUACGUCAGAAAAAGCCUGCAUGCAUGUGACAUAUUUUGACAGGGGUUACGUCAGGGUUUAUGCCAGGAGCGUAUUUGCCAGGAGCUAAGGCCCUGGCAUAGUCAUUUGCGAUGACCUGAAUUGUUGGGGAUUCUGCCCUUGACAAAACUCCUGCAAACGUCAGGGCUUCUGCCCUUGUCAAAUUACCAUAUUAAAUUUCUCGUAGUGAUCAUCCUAAUUAUCAAUAUGUAACCAUAGCUUGUCCGGUGAAAAAAAGUAUUAUAAUCAAACUUGUCGAUUAUAAUGAUGGCGAGAUUAUGCGAUACAAUUUUUUUUCAUUGAUAAUCUUUAGGUUAUACCGUUAUUUAUUUAUUUUUGACAAAGGUUAUGCCAUUUUUUAUAAUGUUUGUUGUUAGACUUUUUGUUUUUUUAACAUGACAUUUUGUUGUUGUUGUUUAUAUUCGAGAUUAGAGAGAGUAUUUCUCUAUUCCGCCACUCUCUUGUUUGUCUUUCUUGUGUACUUAACACAUAAAAAAAAUUGACAUCAUAUCAUAAUAUACAAUUUCUGGUGUCAACCUUUUGCGAUAACAUUUUUGUUUUUUAAAUAGGUUUGUGUUAGGUUAAUAACUUAUUUUUGUGUUAAUUUUGUGAACAUUGGAAAAGGUUAAAGCCAUUUUGAUUGACUUUGAUAUGUACAUGCAAUAUGAAGUAGAAACGUGGAAAGCAAGCCUGUGCAAGUAAUACAUGGUGGCUUGUUAUUCAAUUGUUCGCACAUGUUCAUAUGUUGUACAUGUUGAAAUUGUAUGCAUGGCAGUAAAUAAUUUUGACAAUUUGUCCAAUUGUUUACGGUGCCAUAAAUUGGAGUGGUUGAGGCAAUGGCUUUGCAAUCCUAUAAAUAGCUUGCCCGUGAAUCAUUUCCAAUCAUCCCAAAUCAGUAACAACACAAGAACAAGUAAAGCUUGUUUAGAUAGUGAGAGAAAAAAUAUAGAGAGAAAAAUUAGUUUCUCCUGUGAGAUUUCUCCUAGUUUGUGUUAGUUAGUAUUCUCCUAUUUAUAAGAGAGAGUGGUAAUUGUACUCUCCUUGUAGUUAGAGAGAGGUCCUGUAAUUUCUUCCACUUAGUGAAAGUUCUCUACUCUUGCCCCGUGGUUUUUUCCCCUUAUUUGUUGAGGGGUUUCCACGUAAAAUAUUGUGUGUUCAGUUCCUCUUUUCUCGUCUCUUAUUUUAGCUGCGUGAUAAUAUUUUUCCCUAUGGAAAUUGAAGAUAAGGGCAAUUUUAAGAAAAGAUAAUUGCUUAGACGCAAUAGAUGGCAGACCUGCAGAUAUCACUGACGAAAAGUGGAAAGAGAUGGAUGAUAAUGCCGUUGCCAAUUUGCACCUAGCAAUGGCGGACUCGGUAUUGUCAAGUAUUGCUGAAAAGAAGACGGCAAAGGAGAUUUGGGAUACUCUAAUAAAAUUGUACGAGGUCAAAUCACUCCACAACAGAAUAUUCUUAAAGAGAAGGCUCUACACUCUUCGAAUGGGUGAAUCCACAUCCGUAACGGAUCACAUCAACACCCUGAAUACGCUAUUUUCUCAACUCACGGCUUCUGAUUUCAAAAUAGCGGAGAAUGAGCGUGCUGAACUUCUACUUCAGAGUUUACCAGAUUCGUAUGAUCAACUCAUCAUCAACAUUACAAAUAAUAACAUAGCUGAUACUCUUCACUUUGAUGAUGUCGCCGGUGCAAUCCUUGAAGAAGAAUCCAGGCGCAAGAAUAAGGAAGAAAGGUCAGAGAGUUCAAAGCAAGCAGAGGCUUUGACGAUGACGAGAGGCAGAUCAACGGAACGUGGCCCUAGUGGGAGUCAAAAUCAUGGUAGGUCAAAAUCUCGAAGAAAGAAGAAUAUCAAAUGUUACGGUUGUGGCAUGAAAGGGCACGUAAAGGAGUGUUGGAAUAUCAAGAAGAAUGGAGAGAAGAAUUUUGAAGCUUCAACAUCUCAAGGAUGUGUUGCAAGUACCUCAGAUGACGGGGAAAUCCUGUAUAGCGAGGCAACAACCAGUUCUAAAGGCGAAAGACGACUCAACGAUGUCUGGAUAAUGGAUUCAGGUGCAACAUGGCACAUGACUCCACACCGAGAUUGGUUUUUCUCUUAUGAGCCUAUCUCAGAAGGAUCUGUGUACAUGGGAAAUGAUCAUGCCUUAGAAAUUGCUGGAGUCGGUACUAUCAGAUUAAAGAUGCAUGAUGGUACUCUUAGAAAAAUACAAGGAGUGCGUCAUGUAAAGGGGUUGAAGAAGAAUUUAUUGUCUGUUGGACAAUUGGAUGAUCUCGGGUGUAAGAUCCACACUGAAAGUGGAAUCUUGAAAGUAGUGAAAGGCAAUCUUGUGGUGAUAAAAGCAGAAAAGAUCACAAGUAAUCUAUACAUGCUUCUAGGGGAUACGUUGCAAGAGGUCGAUGCAUCAGUUGCAGCAUCAAGCCAAGAAGAAACAGCGAUGAUGUGGCAUCAAAGACUAGGCCAUAUGUCAGAACGUGGCUUGAAAGUCCUUGCUGAACGCAAUCUCCUUCACGGGCUCAAGGCAGUAAAUUUACCAUUUUGUGAGCACUGUGUGAUAAGCAAGCAACAUAGAUUGAAGUUUGCUAGAGUAACUACUAAAAGCAAACACAUACUAGACUUGAUACAUUCUGAUGUGUGGGAGUCACCAGAAAUAUCUCUGGGAGGAGCAAGAUACUUCGUGUCAUUCAUUGAUGACUAUUCCAGAAGAUUAUGGGUGUACCCAAUCAAGAAGAAGUCGGAUGUGUUUCCAGUAUUCAAGGCAUUCAAAGCACAAAUAGAGCUUGAAACUGGGAAGAAAAUUAAGUGCUUGAGGACAGACAAUGGAGGAGAAUAUGUAGAUGGCGAGUUUCUAGCAUUUUGUAAACAAGAGGGUAUUGUAAGGCAAUUCACGGUUGCACAUACACCUCAGCAGAAUGGUGCGGCAGAGCGGAUGAAUAGAACUCUCCUAGAAAGAACAAGAGCUAUGCUGAAAACAGCAGGAAUGGCCAAGUCGUUCUGGGCAGAAGCAGUGAAAACCGCCUGUUAUGUAAUAAAUCGCUCACCAUCAACGACAAUUGAUUUGAAGACACCAAUGGAGAUGUGGAAAGGAAAGCCAGUAGAUUAUUCUUCUCUACAUGUGUUUGGUUGUCCUGUGUACGUGAUGUACAACUCCCAAGACAGAACGAAGUUGGACCCAAAGUUCAGAAAAUGUAUCUUCUUGGGUUAUGCUGACAAUGUUAAGGGGUAUCGCCUGUGGGAUCCCACUGCCCGCAAGGUUAUUGUUAGCAGGGAUGUAGUCUUUGCAGAAAAUGAACUGCAAAGUGAGCAGAAAAAUGACAGCACUUCUAAAGAGACUGCUAUAAUGCAGAUGGAAGAAAAAUCCAAAGAAAGUGAUUCUUCUGAAGCUGAACCGAUGCACGGAGAACAAGAACCAUAUGAUGUCAAUGAUGGUGUUCGUCGAUCAACGCGUCAGACGCAGAAACCGUCUUGGCAAUCAGACUAUGUUAUGACAAGCCACGAUGCAUAUUGUCUUAUAACUGAAGAAGGUGAACCGUCAACUUUUCAUGAGGCGUUGAAUGGUUCGGAUGCUUCUCAAUGGAUGACAGCAAUGCAUGAAGAAAUGGAGGCCUUACAUAGGAACAAGACAUGGGAGCUUGUUGAACUUCCAAAGGGUCGGAAAGCCAUUGGAAACAAAUGGGUAUACAAGAUCAAACGUGAUGGCAAUGAUCAAGUGGAACGGUAUCGUGCAAGACUGGUUGUAAAAGGAUAUGCUCAGAAAGAAGGUAUUGACUUCAAUGAGAUAUUUUCUCCGGUUGUCAGACUUACUAUUAUCAGAGUAGUGUUGGCGAUGUGUGCUGCAUUGGAUUUACAUCUUGAACAGCUGGAUGUAAAGACUGCUUUUCUUCAUGGAGAACUUGAAGAAGAAAUUUAGAUGCUCCAACCGGAAGGAUUUAAGGAACAAGGAAAAGAAAACCUGGUUUGCAGGUUGACCAAAUCUCUGUACGGUCUAAAGCAGGCGCCCAGAUGUUGGUACAAGAGAUUUGAUUCUUUCAUAAUUAGCCUCGAUUACAACAGACUUAGUUCAGACCAUUGUACGUACUACAAAAGGUUUGAUGGCAAUGAUUUUAUCAUUUUGCUGUUGUAUGUGGAUGACAUGUUGGUGGUAGGCCCCAACAAAGUUCGAGUCCAGGAAUUGAAGGCACAGUUGGCUAGGGAGUUCGAUAUGAAAGACUUGGGACCAGCAAACAAGAUUUUAGGGAUGCAAAUUCACCGAGACAGAAAAGACAGGAAGAUUUGGCUUUCUCAAAAGAAUUAUCUAAGGAAAGUCUUGCGCCGCUUCAACAUGCAAGACUGUAAGCCAAUCUCUACCCCACUUCCUGUGAAUUUUAAAUUAUCCUCAGGUAUGAGUCCUAGCAAUGAAGCGGAGAGGAUGGAAAUGUCUCGAGUACCGUAUGCAUCGGCGGUGGGAAGCCUUAUGUAUGCCAUGAUAUGUACAAGACCAGACAUUGCACAAGCAGUGGGAGUGGUUAGUCGGUUUAUGGCGGAUCCGGGUAAAGAGCAUUGGAAUGCUGUUAAGAGAAUCAUGAGGUACAUUAAAGGAACCUUAGGUGUUGCAGUAUGUUUCGGAGGAUCAGAGUUAACUGUCAGGGGUUAUGUUGAUUCAGAUUUUGCAGGUGAUCAUGAUAAAAGAAAAUCUACUACUGGUUAUGUGUUCACGCUUGCAGGAGGAGCAGUAAGUUGGUUGUCCAAGUUACAAACUGUUGUAGCUCUGUCAACGACAGAAGCUGAGUACAUGGCAGCUACCCAAGCAUGCAAGGAAGCUAUUUGGAUGCAAAGGUUAAUGGAGGAACUCGGGCACAAGCAAGAGAAAAUUACUGUGUAUUGUGACAGUUGAUAAGUGCUAGAAAGUUGUAUUUUAAGUAAUAUAUUUUAGGCACUUUUGUUACUUGUUUUGCAAGUUAUUAAGGGAAAAGCCGAGAAAUAAGUGAUUAUUGCCCUUUUACGCUUUAUCUAUCUUACUUCACCCAUUUGUGCAGGAUUUGAACUCAAGACAUCAAGGAAAUAGAAGAAAAUGAAGAAAAGUACAAAAAGGCUGAAAAAUGAAGAUUACUCGCCCCCAACUCGCCAUGGCCAGUAAAAGGCGAGCAAUUCCAGUGGCCAACAGAGAUUACACGCCACCAACUCGCAACGGCGAGUAGAAGGCGAGUGUGUUCGCCAUGGCGAGUGGAAUGACUCGCGAGGCGAGUAAAGGCGGUUUAGCCUCUCAAUGCUGACGUGGCACAAACCCAAUGGGGAAGAA